AUUGGAUAAUCGCGGAUACAGUACCGAAAGGUCGUAUAUGAGGAAAGUCCGGGCUCCAUAGAGCAAAGAUGCUGGUUAACGGCCAGUGAGGGUAACCUUAAGGAAAGUGCAACAGAAAAUAACCGCCUAACUAUUUAGGUAAGGGUGAAAAGGGGAGGUAAGAGCUCACCGCUAAUAUGGUGACAUAUUAGGCAUAUGUAAACCCCAUCUGGAGCAACACCUAAAUAAAGAAGGUUAAGGCUGCUCGCCGUCUUCUCUUAGCGUGGCUUGAGGUAUAUAGUAAUAUAUAUCCUAGAUAAAUGAUUAUCUGAAAAACAGAACCCGGCUUAUAGGUAUACUU
rnacentral:RNase_P_RNA from 1 species